CAUUGUAAUUUCAGCAUUUGAUAUUAAAGUUGGCUCAUUGUGAUUUCAGCAUUUGGUCUAAAGUUUGGAGAUUGAUAAGUUUUAAAAUAUGGAAAAGAAAUGGAACUAGAAAUGUCAGUGAUUUCCAGCUGUAGCUCUUCCGUUGUGAUUUCGUCAAUGAAGGACAAGUGUUCUCUUUGCUGGAGAGUUAGGAAGAGAAUGUCCUUUUGGAACGUAAGUAUGGAAUCUAAGUCGAGCUUUUAUCUUUAUGAGGGCCUAAAAGUUUGAUUCAACUUUGUACAAAAGCAUGCAUGAAGCACCUUGCUAUGGUGAAGAAUCUUUAAGUCAAUUUUCCAGUUGGAAUGUUAUACCAGACUUUACAAGUUGGGAUAGAUACAAUUGUUUGGUCUAAGUAGAUAUUGAAUAGAGUAUAGUUAUGUUCAUGAAUUAUUUUUACCAUGUUUUAGUCUAGAUUGUGGAUCAUAAAUUUAAUGUAUUUAGAAAUUUUCAA